rnacentral:lncRNA from 1 species
UAUGUUUUUGUAAGUUUGAUUAUUGCAAAGUCUGUGGGGUUUGUUCUGGCCGUGCCCUGGGCAAGUGGCAGUUCUAGGUUGUGACCCAAACCACGGCAGUGACAACACCAGAUCCUUAACCCACUGUGCCACAAAAGAACCCCCAAUUGCAAAGUUGUUAUUUUUUUUGUUUUAAUGACCUCUCCAAGGUCAAAAAAACAAUCAGAUGGCUGGCUUUACCAGCUUGGAAAGUUUUUUCAAUCUCUGUUAGCUCUAUUUAGGAACAUCUUAGACCAGAGAGUAAUGAUACAGGUAUGAAGUCUUCCAGGUUAGCAAAGGAAAAGAAAGCAACAGCAAAACGAUAUUUUACCUGCCUACUCAAAGCAUUCCACUUGACAGUCCCAAUGAAAGUGAUACCUAAGCCUGGAUGGUUCCAUAGGAAGGUGGGGAGGAGGGGUGCAGCCCUACUCCAGGUCACUCCCUGAACAAAAUCUUACCUGCCAAAUAACUUCUGAAUGUGGGAGAUUCCAGAGAGGUCUGUGAGUUUUAAAAGAAUGUACAAGGAUUGACGUCACUGCUGAUUGGUUGCGAAACUUGGUUAAACCAGGUGUCAGCAAACUAUAGCCCUCCCAUGAGCCAAAUCUGGCCCACUGCCUGUGUCUGCACAGCUCACAAACUAAGAAUAGUUUUUACAUCUUAAAAUGGUUUUUAGGAGUUCCUGCUGCGAUACAGUGGGUUAAUCCAACUGCAACAGCUCAGGUUGCCUCUGAGGCACGGCUUCCAUCCCAGGCGCAGUGGGUUAAAGGAUCUGGUGUUGCUGCAGCCUAUGUCAUAGAUAUGUAAUGUCUAUGACUGUUUUCAGUCCACAAUGACAGAGUUAGGUAGGUGAAACCAAAUGGCCCACAGUGUCCAAAAUGGCCCUUAGCAGAAAAGUUGUGCUGACCUCAGGCAUAAAAGUUGUGUGUGAAAGAUGUGUUGGAAGACCUUUGAUUUUCGUUGUAUCAGGUAAGAAGAGGAAGUCUGUGAGAGCAGAAAGCAAGAGAAUGAGAGCAUUAGAAAGUGCAGGCUAUCGAAGAGUAUUCUGGUCUAGGUAGCAAGUGCUACAUCCACCUGCUCAGAGUCACUCUGGGAUAAGGAAAUCUCAGCAAACUGAUAGAGCAAUUUUAAAGUAUUUUAAAAUUUGUGAUUCCAAUUUAUAGUGUAAUCAACUUAGUAAUCAAUUUUAAGUUGCAGUCAGUUUUUUGUGUACGUACAGUUAUUGUAAAUGCUACGCUAUUGGAAAUUUUAAUAAUAGUAUUUUGUGUAUUUUACUUCAUUUUGGUUUUGCUUGUUCUCCACUGCAACCACCAGAUGGCGAGUUUUCUUAUAUUGUCUGGUUGUCACACCAGGUCUCUGGCCAACAAAGGAUAAUAAAAUAUAGGUCCACAGUCCCUUCUUUGAAACUCCUGUUUUCUGAGGCCAGGACCAGGGACUUUUUUUGUUUUUUAGGAUGUUUUGAAAUUAAGAGUAUUUCAGAUUUUUAGGAAAUACAGAGGUAAUACAGUUUAUUGUACUAUACUAUAUUACAGUAUAUUAUAAUAUAAUACCUCUAAUGGGGGUGUGGAGGAGCAUUCAAAUAUGUUAAUAUUUCUUCAGUUAAGUUUGUUAAUGCAGAAUAAGGAAUGAGUAUCGACUAUCAAUAGCCUCCCAUCAGUUCACAUCAGGUUUUGCUCCCAAAUUAAUUUGUGCCAGACUUCGGGGGGCAAAUUUUUGAUUUUUAGUUUUUGGGGGGUUUGUUUGUUUGAGUUUUGGACUUGUGGAUACAGUUUUGUAGUUCUGGAAUAAGAAUAACACAUGUAAUGUUUGCUAUGUAUCUGGCUUCAUUCUAAAUGCUUUACACAAUUAGUGUAUUGAGAUCACCUCACAAUAGGUUGUUUUUAAAUCACAAGACUUGUCAGCAGAGAGGGUGGAUUUGUGUAAAAUUUUUUUUUUAAGGGCAGACUGAUUUAUCUCAAGUCUAAUGGUGAGAUAUGAUGAGGAAACUGGCUCACAUAUCCGACAAGGAGCAAACCAGCACUCGCGGCUUUUUCCUGUCCGUGCUGUGGGUUUCCUAAUGCCCAGUAAACAAGCUCUGUUUUCUAAUUUAACUCUCAAAAGCAAAUGAAUCAUAUGAAAAUAUCACUAAAUAUUGUGAAAGUGAAAAUGCUGCAAUCCCUACCAUUUUUUCCCAGAAAUAAAUUUUUAUAAUAUUUACAUUCAGCUGAUUUUGUAAUUGAAUUCUUUCUUUUCCAUUGUGGAAAAAUAUCCAUAACGUAAAAUUUACCAUCUUAACCAUUUUUUGAAGUGCACGGUUCAGUGAUAGAUACAUUUACAUUGUUGUGCAGCCAUCACCACCAUUCAUCCCCAUAACCCUUUUAUCUUGUAAAACUGAAACUCUGCUUAUUAAUAACUCCCCGUUCCCUCCUCCCCCAGCCCCUAAAGACCAAAGACCACCAUUACAAUUUAUGUCUCUAUGAAUUUGACUUCUCAGGAGAAAUGAAUCCCACUAGUAUCUACAAGGGUGGGGGUUUGAUCCCUGGCCUUGCUCAGUGGGUUGGGGAUCCAGCGUUGCCAUGAGAUGUGGUGUAGGUCGCCAGUUCUGCUCAGAUCUGGUGUUGCUGUGGCGUAGGCUGGCGGCUGUAGCUCCAAGUUGACCCCUAACCUGGGAGCCACAAGUGCCACAAGUGUGGCCCUAAAAAGCAAAAAAAAAAAAAUUAAGUACCCCUUUUAAGCGGAAUGUUAUGUAUUUGCCUUUUUGUAAUUGGCUUCUUUCACUUAGUCUGAUGACCUCAAGGUUCAUCCAUGUUGUAGCAUAUUGCCCAUUCUCCUUUCUUUUUAAGGCUAAGUACUAUCCCACUGUAUGCAUGUACCAUAUUUUGCUUGCGCAGACACCACAGUUUACUUUCCAAAUCUUCCCCUGCAAGUGGUAAGCCUUCAACAGACUCCAGAGUUCCAAAAUUUGACUACUCUGCCAGUGCAAUUGUUGUCUAGGUUGGGAGCCAGAUUCCCAGUGCUUCCUAUUCCACUGUCCUCCCAGAAUCCUCUCCCACAGUUCUUAGCAUUUUACCACUUAAAUAUUAUUUGAUUAUGUCCCACCAUCUCCCACUUCCCCAAGUUAAGCCUCCAGAGGAAACCAUAGCCCUGGCCAAUAGCCUGACUGUAACUUCAUUGAGAGAACUUGACAAAGACUACUUGACCAAACUUUAGUCAGGAACCUCUGACCCAGGGAUGGUCCCCAACACACCUCUGAAAUGCAAAUCUCUGCCUGAGAGCCUGCUUCCUGGAGACCCUGCCUGAGGCCCUUUGUGAUCUAGAGCAAAUACUUUACUUCUCUGGGUCUUGGUCUCCUUAUCUGCAAAAUGGGAGAAAAUACCAGUAUCCAUUCCAUAAGGUGGUUGUGAGGAUUCAACAAGUUUAAAUCCUUGGCAUGGUGUCUGCCACACAGUGAGCACACAUAAAUAUUUGCUCUGUGAUUAUUACUAUCUAUAAAACAUCCUUGGCUUCUGCCCCAUCCCUGCCCCCAGCCUCAGAAAACCAACUGGUGCAAAGUUCUUGAGGUAGCAGCAAGUUUGGCAUACUGGGGAAAUAGGGUGAAGGAGAGUGAUAGAAGAUGAGGUCAGAGAAGCCGGCAGAUCCCUGUUGGACGCUGUGGGGCUUGUAUGUUGGGAUUUAAAUCGAAGUGAGAUGGGAAACCAUGGCAGCAGGUUGAGAGCAAAUGAGUAAGGUGAGUUGGCCCGCGGUUCUAGAAGCUCUGGCUUCAGGGAUAACCAGUUACAGGGCAGCAGGAGGGUAAGUGAGGAAGACUAGAGCGAUGAUAAUUACAAAUGGGGAGCUUCGGGAUGUUUUGGUAGGAGAAUUAGUGGCAGACUAGAUGUGAAGGGCAAAAAAGGAAUUAAAGACAUCCCCUUGGCGUCCUUGAGAAAAAUGGGUGGUUGGUAACACCAUGGAUUUAGACAAGGAAAAGCAAGAGCAGGUUUGGGGCAAGAAGGGGAGACUCUAAAGCUCUGUUUAUAACAUGUUAAGUUUGAAAUGCCUGUUGGACAUCCAAGUGAGAUGUCAAACUAGCCCUUGGCUGUAUGUUUGGGUCCUCUUCUGACCGAGUCAUACUGUAUAUAAAAGGGCUAGGAGAGCAUAAAUUAACCUGACCUGAGACAAUUAAGCUAACUGUUCCUUUGGAAUGCAGGGUCAUUAUUUGCCUUAUUUAUUAAUUUACCAACUAAAACAUUGUUCAUCUUUUCCUCUUCACGUAGCAAUUAAUGAAGAGAACUCCACGUGGCUCUACAACUAGAAAUUAAGAGCUGACCCAUAGAUGCUCCAGGGGUCAUGACUUUUGCACUGAGCACUUCAGUGACUAGCAAUAUCUUGGCUGGAGCUAAAAUGGAAAUUGCCAGGAACAGGCUUAUUUUGCCUCCCAGCAUGCACUUAGGGAUGUAUGGCUGUGAAGCAUCUUACCCAGUAUCUCUCAUCUUAAAGGCACACAGUAUGUGCCAGUUUCCUUCUACAGAGCCUCACUGGAACAACUACCAUGUUUUUGGUACAGCCUCUGCAAUGCUAUGAUGGCUCAAAUAUGAAGUUUCAUUUUCUCUAGUUUCUUGAACCAUGGUUGUGCCUGGCAAAGGAAGGGCCUUCUCAUAGGCCUAACCUCUUGGUAAUAAUAAUAAUAAUAAUUCCCUUUUUGAAAACCAUGAUUUAUGGUUUUUUAAAUGAUUUCACAUAAAUUCGUUCAUUUGAUCCAUAGCCUCAAAGAGAGGUGAGAUAUCCUCAUUUUACACAUGAGGAAAGAAGAGAAUAUGCAUGAAGGCACUUCUGCAACUUCCACUCUCUACUGGGCUGUGCUUUUCUGAAAGCCAAUGGCAGGGGAGUGUGUUCUCUAGCUGUACUUCAACUCCCUCAUAUCUGGUAUUCUUUUUCCUACCAGAUGCCACUGGAGUACAGUUCAAGGAGUUUUUGCUAGGGUGGAGUGAAGAUUCAAAAAUGGUGCCAAUCCAAGUAGCUAUCCUGGUCAUACUUGGAGACUGGAAUUCAUUGAGGAAAGAUUUCCACGCAAGUUGAGACAAUUCUUGUAAGAAGGGCUUGUUACUUCUCAAUAUUAGGCUUGAACAAGCAAGAACAACUGGAAACAAUCACAUAUCUAUCAACAGGUGACUGGAUGAACAAUGGAAUAUUAUUUAUGUACUGUAGAUAUUAUGCAACAAGAUGGAUGAAUUUAAAAGCAUUACAUCCAGAUGGCCAAAAAGCACACGAAAAGAUGCUCAACAUCACUAUUAGAGAAAUGCAAGUCAAAACUACAAUGAGGUAUCACCUCACACCAGUCAGAAUAGCCAUCACCAAAAAGUCUACAAACAGGGAUUUCCUAUUGUGGCUCAGUGGGUUAAGCCUAGUAUCCAUAAGGAUGUGGACCCCUGGCCUCACUCAGUGGGUUAAGGAUCCAGCAUUGCUGCAAGCUGUGGUGUGGAUUCCUGAUAUGGCUUGGGUCUAGUGUUGCUGUGACUGUGGAAUAGGCUGGCAGCUGGCGGCUGGUAGCUGCAGCUCAAACUCAAUCCCUAUCCUGGGAAUUUCCAUGUGCUACAAGUGUGGCCCUUAAAAGGGGAAAAAAAAAAAAAGUCUACAAACAAUAAAUAUUGGAAAGUGUGUGGAGAAAAAGGAACAUUUCUACAUUGCUGGUGGGAAUGUAAAUUGAUGCAAAUACUAUGGAGAACAGAAUGGGGGUUCCUUAAAAAACUAUAGAACUAAAUAUGAUCCCACUCCUGGGCAUAUACAUGGAGAAAAUCAUAACUCAAAAAGAUAAAUGUGGUGUUCCCGUCGUGGCUUAGUGGUUAACAAAUCCAUGAAGUUUUGGAUUCGAUCCCUGGCCUUGCUCAGGAACCAUGAGGUUUUGGGUUUGAUCCCUGGCCUUGCUCAGUGGGUUAAGGAUCUGGCAUUGCUGUGAGCUGUGGAGUGGGUCACAGACGCAGCUUGGAUCCCGCGUUGCUGUGGUUCUGGCGUAGGCCAGCAGCUACAGCUCUGAUUAGACCCCUGGCCUGGGAAACUGUAUGACAUGGGAGCAGCCCUAGAAAAGACAAAAAACAAAAACAAAAAGAUACAUGCACCCAAUGUUCAUUGCAGCACUAUUUACAGUGGCCAAAACAUGGAAGCAACCUAAAUGUCCAUCAACAGAGGAAUGGAUAAAGAAGAUGUGGUAUAUAUACACAAUGGAAUAUUACUCAGCCAUUAAAAAAGAACAAAAUAAUGCCAUUUGCACCAACAUGGAUGGACCUAGAAAUUAUACUAAGUGAAGUUAAGUCAAAGAAAGACAAACCUUGUAUGAGAUUAGGACUAUGUGGAAUCUAAUAGAAAAUGAUACAAAAGAACUCACAAAACAGAUUUAAAAAUCAAAUUUGUGGUUAUCAAAGGGGAAACGGGGGAAUGAAUAAAUUAGGAGGUUAAGAUUAACAUAUACGCACUACUAUAUAUAAAACAGAUAAGUAAUAAGGACCUACUGUAUAUAGCUCCAGGAAAUCUACUAAAUACUGUUAAUAACCUAUAUGGGAAAAGCAUCCAAAAAGGAACAGAUAUAUGUAUAUGUACAACUGACUCACUUUGUCAUACACCUGAAACUAACACAGCACUAUACUCCAAUAAAAAAUUAAUAAAUAUGUAU